AGAUUAAACUGAAGAGUUUGAUCCUGGCUCAGAUUGAACGCUGGCGGCAUGCCUUACACAUGCAAGUCGAACGGCAGCACGGAGCUUGCUCUGGUGGCGAGUGGCGAACGGGUGAGUAAUA
rnacentral:rRNA from 2 species